CAUAUAUUUGGUUAAUUCGAUUUUUAGCUAUGAUUGUCCAAACGCAAUUCUUGUUGAUUUUUAAAUACUCAAGGGUUGCAUCUGGGCAUCGCGGCUCGAAAUGAGAAUCCAACACAAAGCCAA
rnacentral:pre_miRNA from 15 species